GACGAACGCUGGCGGCGUGCUUAACACAUGCAAGUCGAACGGAAAGGCCCUGCUUUUGUGGGGUGCUCGAGUGGCGAACGGGUGAGUAACACGUGAGUAACCUGCCCUUGACUUUGGGAUAACUUCAGGAAACUGGGGCUAAUACCGGAUAGGAGCUCCUGCUGCAUGGUGGGGGUUGGAAAGUUUCGGCGGUUGGGGAUGGACUCGCGGCUUAUCAGCUUGUUGGUGGGGUAGUGGCUGACCAAGGCGUUGACGGGUAGCCGGCCUGAGAGGGUGACCGGCCACAUUGGGACUGAGAUACGGCCCAGACUCCUACGGGAGGCAGCAGUGGGGAAUAUUGCACAAUGGGCGGAAGCCUGAUGCAGCAACGCCGCGUGCGGGAUGACGGCCUUCGGGUUGUAAACCGCUUUCGCCUGUGACGAAGCGUGAGUGACGGUAAUGGGUAAAGAAGCACCGGCUAACUACGUG
rnacentral:rRNA from 1 species